rnacentral:rRNA from 1 species
UUCGGGAAGGUGCCCUAGCGGCGAACGGGUGAGUAACACGUGGGCAACCUGCCCCUAGCACUGGGAUAACUCCGGGAAACCGGGGCUAAUACCGGAUACGACCUCAGAAGGCAUCUUCCGAGGUGGAAAAAUUUAUUGGCUAGGGAUGGGCCCGCGGCCUAUCAGCUUGUUGGUGAGGUAACGGCCCACCAAGGCUUCGACGGGUAGCCGGCCUGAGAGGGCGACCGGCCACACUGGGACUGAGACACGGCCCAG